rnacentral:pre_miRNA from 1 species
GUGCUAAUCUAUCGCUCCGUUUUCCGUGCGGAACACAGCCGCGGCCUUAGGCUGUGUUCCCAUCUACCAGAUGGGAACUCAUUUCCCCUGCACGGAAAACGGAGCGGUCCAUUAGCGCGU